rnacentral:rRNA from 1 species
GAGUGAACUGGGAAGAGUCCAGCGCUGAAUCACUUCUCCUCUGGGGUCGUGAGGUGUAGCGUACAGACCGUGAGCUUGGAUUGGCCUGCUUGUUCAAGUUUCCCUUGACCGGGGCUCCAGAGAAGGUGCAAGACCUGUCCAACGAGUGGUUGCCUAUCCAUCUUCGCGUGUCUUGGAGUCGGGUUGUUUGGGAUCGCAGCCCAAAGUAGGUGGUAAACUUCAUCUAAGACUGAAUACGGCCACGAGUCCGAUAGCGAACAAGUACCGUGAGGGAAAGUUGCAAAGCACUUUGAAGAGAGAGUUAAAGAGGACGUGAAACCGAUGAGAUGGAAACGGACAGAGCUGGCGUAUCUGGUCUGCAUUCAUCCGUGUGUUCUUGGGCGUUUGGAUUGCCACUCCAGACUGGGAUGGUGUUCAUUCUGUUCAGGGGCUCAUGGAGCAUUUGCAGGCGGAGUGCGCUGAGAUGCUCGGAGCAGCUGCAUGAGCUUGGCUUUGAGGCCAGCCCUUCGGGGUCUGGUACCCGGGCUGUGGGAGUGCUGUUUGUUCUGGGUGCUGAGUGUGUGCAAUGGCAACGGGUCCGUGUUGGUUUGAGCUGGCGGUCGGUGGCGGUCGCGUGCGACACGUGCCAGCAGUCAGUUCGGUCCUGCUCGGGCUCUCAUUGCAUGUUCUCGGUGUAAAAGCCGGUCAUCUGUCCGACCCGUCUUGAAACACGGACCAAGGAGUUUAGCGUGUGCGCGAGUCAUUGGGAGUUGAAAACCCAAGGGCGUAAUGAAAGUGAAGGUCUCCUUGCGGAGCUGAUGUGUGAUCUCGUGCACCCCGGUGUGCGGGCGCAACAUAGUCCCGUCCCGAUCGCAUGCGAUGGGGCGGAGACAGAGCGUACGCGCUGAGACCCGAAAGAUGGUGAACUAUUCCUGAGCAGGAUGAAGCCAGAGGAAACUCUGGUGGAAGUCCGAAGCGAUUCUGACGUGCAAAUCGAUCGUCUGACUUGGGUAUA